GACGAACGCUGGCGGCGUGCCUAAUACAUGCAAGUCGAGCGGACUGAUUAAGAGCUUGCUCUUAUGACGUUAGCGGCGGACGGGUGAGUAACACGUGGGCAACCUGCCCUGUAGAUCGGGAUAACACCGAGAAAUCGGUGCUAAUACCGGGUAAUAUCUGAGAUCACAUGAUCUUAGGUUAAAAGAUGGCUCCGGCUAUCACUACAGGAUGGGCCCGCGGCGCAUUAGCUAGUUGGUAAGGUAAUGGCUUACCAAGGCGACGAUGCGUAGCCGACCUGAGAGGGUGAUGGGCCACACUGGGACUGAGACACGGCCCAGACUCCUACGGGAGGCAGCAGUAGGGAAUCUUCCGCAAUGGACGAAAGUCUGACGGAGCAACGCCGCGUGAGUGAUGAAGGGUUUCGGCGCGUAAAGCGCUGUUGUUAGGGAAGAAACAGUACCGAACGAACUAGGUCGGUACCUUGACGGUACCCAACCAGAAAGCCACGGCUAACUACGUG
rnacentral:rRNA from 1 species